rnacentral:rRNA from 1 species
CCUACGGGGGGCUGCAGUGGGGAAUAUUGGACAAUGGGCGAAAGCCUGAUCCAGCCAUGCCGCGUGUGUGAAGAAGGCCUUCGGGUUGUAAAGCACUUUCAGUGGGGAAGAAAGCCUUGGGGCUAAUACCCUCGAGGAAGGACAUCACCCACAGAAGAAGCACCGGCUAACUCCGUGCCAGCAGCCGCGGUAAUACGGAGGGUGCGAGCGUUAAUCGGAAUUACUGGGCGUAAAGCGCGCGUAGGCGGUCUGAUAAGCCGGUUGUGAAAGCCCCGGGCUCAACCUGGGAACGGCAUCCGGAACUGUCAGGCUAGAGUGCAGGAGAGGAAGGUAGAAUUCCCGGUGUAGCGGUGAAAAGCGUAGAGAUCGGGAGGAAUACCAGUGGCGAAGGCGGCCUUCUGGACUGACACUGACGCUGAGGUGCGAAAGCGUGGGUAGCAAACAGGAUUAGAUACCCCGGUAGUC